CAGUCGAGCGGACAGAAGGGAGCUUGCUCCCGGAUGUUAGCGGCGGACGGGUGAGUAACACGUGGGUAACCUGCCUGUAAGACUGGGAUAACUCCGGGAAACCGGAGCUAAUACCGGAUAGUUCCUUGAACCGCAUGGUUCAAGGAUGAAAGACGGUUUCGGCUGUCACUUACAGAUGGACCCGCGGCGCAUUAGCUAGUUGGUGGGGUAAUGGCUCACCAAGGCGACGAUGCGUAGCCGACCUGAGAGGGUGAUCGGCCACACUGGGACUGAGACACGGCCCAGACUCCUACGGGAGGCAGCAGUAGGGAAUCUUCCGCAAUGGACGAAAGUCUGACGGAGCAACGCCGCGUGAGUGAUGAAGGUUUUCGGAUCGUAAAGCUCUGUUGUUAGGGAAGAACAAGUGCGAGAGUAACUGCUCGCACCUUGACGGUACCUAACCAGAAAGCCACGGCUAACUACGUGCCAGCAGCCGCGGUAAUACGUAGGUGGCAAGCGUUGUCCGGAAUUAUUGGGCGUAAAGGGCUCGCAGGCGGUUUCUUAAGUCUGAUGUGAAAGCCCCCGGCUCAACCGGGGAGGGUCAUUGGAAACUGGGAAACU
rnacentral:rRNA from 1 species